AAACGAGUCAAGCAUAGAAGAAAAGCGUAGCUCGGAUGCAAGGACUAAUUAGCAAAUCGGAUAGUUGCGUCAUCAUUGAUGGUGUGAUAAUAAAAGCGAGGCAUAAAUCGGGUCUAUUCGUUGAUCCGAGCCAGGUACUUUUGGAUGCCGGAAGACGAUCAAGCUCAGU